UAUCUGGCACGUUUCACUGCACAUUCAGUUUGCUACCACAAGGACAAAGCCACAUCCAGCCACAUCUUUGGUCUGUUUUCGUGUGCCUCUGGUACCCUUUUGUCAAAUGUGGGUGCUAAAAGGUCAACUCAAGGUGUGUUUCAGCCUCUUUAAGCACUUAUUUGAAAUUUGAAGAAUCAUACUUUCCUGUGCAGACUGUCAGUAAACAGGGGGUGUAUGACAGGAUGUAAUGAGUCAUGCUUUUCACGCGUGCACUUGCUGUUUGCAGAAGUAAGCAUGCUGAGGUAUUUAUGUUGCAUCUUUUCACUACUCAAACUAGUUGCUGACUAUAUUAUUGAAAACGUCAAUAAUGGCAGGAAUGCAAGCUUCAAAGAGAACCAAAGAUGUGAUUCCUUCAAAGUGGAGAUCAAACAUUCACUUCUGUUAAUCUGAUGUCAUGUAAUUAUGUCUAUCUACCAGAUCUAAUUUAAUUCAAAUGUCCCCUGGCUGCUCUUUUCAGGUCCAUCUGGACUUCAAGGUCAGGAUCACAAGAUUGCAGAAAAUCCUUUGAUGGUGAGAUGUGUUAGAUUAAACCUGACACUGCAGGAGAAAACAAAUCCCAUACUUUUAAAUACAUAAACUAUCCAUACAUCUAGCUAAGUAGCUAGAUGUAUGUAGGUAUGUAGCUAAAAUUACAUACUUAUGCUAUACUUGAAAUGUUAGUUUUCACAUCCAGUGGUUUGUUCAGCUGUAGAAUCACUGCUUUUCUUUUCUCAUAGUUGCUUAUGUAUGACUUUUCAUACAAACUUUUCAUAUAAACUGUCCUCGCAAAGACCACUGACUGCAGUGACCUCUGUGUUGCACAUCACAACUCUAAGUGUGAUACUGUGUGCUCUCCGGAACAUCUGUUGAACCUGACCUUGUCUUACCAAAGAGUCGGCCUGGCUCUUUGCUGAAUCCUGAAUUAUCUCCAAAGCGCACCACUGCACCACUGAUAUUUCUAUAAUGUUUGACUACAUUUUGAUAAAUGAAACAAGUGCAAGGUAAAUAUUUACAACAUACAUAUUAUAUUUAUAUAUACAAUGUGAUUUAGCAUGCUAACAUAACGUGCAACACUUUGGUGUUAUGUUUAGUGCUGAUUAGAGAAUAUUUGUAUUCUAACUAAGAUGGUGAACAUUAUAUUGAGCAUUGUCAAUGUUAAAUGGACUGUACUUAUAUAGAGAGUUAUAUAUAUACUUAUAUAGACUGUACUCAUAUAGAGCCUUUCUAGUCUUUCUGACUACUCAAAGCGCUUUAACUACAUAUCACACUCACAAUUUGGGGUUCAGUGGACAAGGACACUUCGAGCUUGUCAAGCUGGGAUCAAACCGCCAACCUUCUGAUUGGUGGACGACACACUCUACCACUAAGCCACAGUCACCCAUUGUUAGCAUAUUAGCAUAGCUUAAAGCCCUGCUGUGCCUAAAUACAGCCUCACAAAGCCGCUAGCAUUGCUGUAGUACUGUACUAUUAGUUACUCUGUGUAUUCUUGGAUACACAAUCAACUGUGCAAACACAUAUAUACUACAUGUAUAUAACUUUUGCAUAUGCAAAAGCAACAUCAUCAGUGUGUGCAUCUACAUGUAAAUGAUUAAUGUCAUGUGACCAUCCCUGUUUAUUGUAAAAAUGUGGGUGUAACCUACCAGCAUAUCUUUCACAAGGUCAAAGCCAAAACAAAACAGAUAAAUAAACACCUUUUAAACCAUUAUUAUUCAUUGCAUAAAUAAUACAUGAUGCAAAUAUAGUACUGCUGAGGCAACAUUGCUCUGAAUGUUGCUGUCCCGAUUGUUUGCAAUUUCUCUCAGGUCAUUGGAUUUCAAUAGCUGCCUCCUGCGUCCAUGUCGAAUCUCUGACACAGAUUGUACUGGAACCGGCUUUCAUAAUCACCACAGAAACACUCCUCAGCUUAUACUCAUACAAAAGCUCUUAGACCUGACAUUCCUGUUUUGAAAGUGUAAGGUGUGUGAGAUUUUACUCUCUCUGAGUAUAGAAGAUAUUUAGCUCAUAUUUAAUAGAAUAGAAUAAAAUGCCUUCAUUGGCAUUGUACAACGAAAUUUGCUGUGCAGCUCCUAAAACGAUUCAUUUAACAUUUCACACAUAAUCAUGCGCACACACACAUAUACGCACAUGCCCAUUAAGUUAAAUAAGUAAUAAUAAAAAGAUUAAAAAGAAGCGGUAUAAAAAAGAAAAUGUUAUUGCACAUUUCCUCAUUGGAUGGAAGUACUAUUCCAGUUGUUAGUCCUGUGGUGUGGAGUGUUGUGAUGAUGUGAGGGGGGGGACAUUGUUUUGUGGAGUUCAGUUCAAUGAUGGCUCUGGGGUAAAAGCUGUUUUUGAGCCUGGAAGUGUGGGUCUUUAAAGGGACAGUUCACCCCAACUGAUUUUGGGGUGAACUGUCCCUUUAAGGCCCUGUAGCACCUUCCGGCUGGCAGCAGAGAGGAGAGAUGAUGAUAGAGGUGAAUUGCAUCCUUCAGAAUGCUGCUGGCUCUGCGGAGGAGGCGUGAUCUGAAGGUGUCUUCCAGUGCGGGCAGGGGAAGUCCGAUUAUUUUCUGGGCUGUGUGUAUGACUCUCUGGAGAGCUCUUCUGUCUGCUGCUGAACAGCUGACAUACUGACAGUAUGUCGGUACACUAUAGAGCAGUGGUAGAAGGACACAAGCAGCUUCACGGACAGGCGGGGGCUGUCCUCGUGAGCUUGUGCGUCAAGCUGUCAUCCAGGAGGUCAAGCACCAGUCCUCCUCAAACAAACAAUUCCAGUGAUGAAGGCCUUACAGAUUUCUCACUCACACAUGUUUUUCUCAAGGAUCGAAAGAGUUUGUGGUUCGAAUUCUCGUAUAAAUGACAUUUAUUAGUGAAAAUAAGUCAUUGGUUUAAGAUGUUCCAACACCCAUGUGUUUCAUUUAGUUUUAACUGGAAAAUUAAGCCAUUUCUGACAGAAAAUAGAUUUAGUAUUGUAUGGUUGUGGAAAUACACAAUAUCGCCUUAGAGUCUGUGAUUUACUAUAUAAAAAAUAAAUUAUGAUAAUCAUCUGAUCAUUUGGAUGGUUUUCCACAGCAGCAGUUUAGUGGUACAGGCCCAGAAUGUGCCUGAAAGCUGGAAAAUACACUGAUUGAUGUGAAUGAUUUUCACAGUCUUUCCACUCAUGGAAGGAAGCACAACAUUAAAAUGGAUAACCCUGAUUUUCUUUAACUUACACUAAAAACAAGAAAUAAGCCAAACUUAUCUGCUAACUGGCUAGGGACAGCAGUUAUUCUUACAUUGCAGGCUAUGUGCAAACAGAGCAUUAUGGUACAGAAACACUGCUCAGCAAAUGGCAGGUUGGCACAGGUUUUUUAUUCUUGUUUAUCUUUGAGCCGGCACCACGAGCUAGCUGAUAGCAAGGCUGAAAAAGACUGAACCGCUAGGCAACAGCACGGCUAGCGAGGUAGCCAUGCUUUCUUAACCUCUUGGAGACAAUGAUAGCAAACAUAAAUCAAAGUGUCCUUGCUGUCAACAGUAGCCAGCAGAGCCAGGUAGGUAUAUUUGUGUUAUAUUUGCUGUCCACUAAUGUCAGUCAAAACCAAGUCACUAAGCUAGUUAUUAGCAAAACUGUAUGGAUUGGCCAGGGCCUGCAAGAUUUGUUCACACUUUGGUUUUUGUACAGCAUAAAUAAAAAAAUAAAAAAACAUAUAAAAAAAUGUACAUGUAAACAUGUUAAUAUGGGAGCUUCAGAGUUGCUGGUAGGCAGGUUUUGUUACCUUGGACAGAGCCAGGCUAGCUGUUUCCAGUCUUUGUGCUAAGCUAAGCUAACCAGCUGCUCGCUGUAGCUUCACAUUUAUCAGACAAAACUGAGAGUGGUAUCGAUCCUAUCAUCUAACUCUCGGCAAGAAAGCGCAUUUCCCAAAAUGUCGAGAAACAGUACAAAGCUGAAGUCAUGACGUCACCGCCAGGUCUCUGUUCCACAAGCUUCUGUAUCUCAGUGCGAUCUCUUAUUCAACAUUUGUUUCAAUGGUCUUUCUGAAAAUAUGAAAUGUGCUCCUGGGUUUACUUUACGUAAUCAGCAUCCACUACAGCACCUAGCACGCUAUUAAAAGUAAACACUUACUUGUGAGCAUACAAAACCUAUAGCUCCCAUGAAAAUUUGUAAGCGCAGCAGCUUGGGUCCAUAUCCAUAAAACUCAACAGCGCUCUCUUCUAAAGUCAUUUUCCAAACUUUUUAGCUGUAAUCGCUGCAAAACAUUUCUACACUGUUCAGUUCUGUCCUGCUGUUAUUACAGACAUGUGACUCACCCAUGGACUUUACAUUUAUUCAUUUGGCAGACACGUCCAAAAGACAUACAAAUCUUUGGUGGAGCUGUUUAAUGGGAAAUGGUGUUCAUUAAAGGCUGCUAAAACACAGAAAUACUGAUUAAACAAUGAUAUCAGAUUGUUUUUCCGCUCUGUUCCAAGGAUGGAUUUUUAGUUAUUUGCGUUGUUAUGAAUGUCAAUGUGAUUUUUAUAUCAGCUGAAUAGAGUGUAUUAGUGUUUAUAUUGGAUUUUAUUUUGAUGUCAGUGAUGGUGGCUGCAGCCAUUUUGCCUUAAGUUUGUUUUGUAGUUCUUUUCACCAAGUGGGAGAUAUUUUAGUCAGUCAAAAGUUUACAAUAUUUUUGACUCUCGAAUUACACUCGAAUUACAGCUGGACUGUGAAUGUUUUUUUCCACUCGGCUACUCAUGAUUAUGUUCUGAACAAUGUGAUAUUAAGGCGGUGUUAUGCGUUUGUAAUUUGUGGGGGUUUUUUGGCUUAAAGGUAAACAGGUCACAUAAACUCAAGACACAGGGAAAAGUAAAAUGAUCUUCAUAUGCAAAGCCAUUCAAUACCCCUAAUACCUGGUGGCUUUACAGUAAUCUGUUUUUAUGAUCACCAUUCAUAACAGCAACAAAAGCCUUUUCUGCUAAAGAAUGCACAGUCUAUUGUACUAUCAGCAGAGCCGCUGAUACAGUAAUCCAGUGGUGUCAGUAUUUAAGAUGUAAAUACCUGGCCACUACCUGUAUCUGCACAUCAGGCUUAACAGAGCCUUUAUGAAUGCUUAUGUGCGCAAAAGCCCCUCUGGUGACGGAGCCAUGUGCGUCAUACCACGGAUCAGCCUAUUAUUCAGGGCUGAGGGUGGCAGGGGAAGGGGAUGUGGGGUAAAGAAAGGUGAUAGUAAGCUUGACAAGGGGAAUGAAACAAAAAGUGGAUAAAGCACAGUGAAAGACUAAAUGAGUGGAUACAGUUCAAAAGAUGAAAAAUGGAGUGAAAGAGAGCAUUAAACAAAGAAAUGGGAGAUGAUAUAGAGAGGAGAGGGUCCAAAACAGAGAGAGCAGCGAGGAGGACAUUAGAAAGAGGUCAGCUUUGAAUGAAGCAGGAUGAUGCACCUCUCGUAGUGAUUUAGUGAUGUAAUGCUCUUAUUCGACCGCUCCUAAAACAUGGAGAGUGAAUUAAAAAAAAAUUUAAAGUCUG